rnacentral:rRNA from 1 species
UACAGAGGUCUCAAGCGUUGUUCGGAUUCAUUGGGCGUAAAGGGCGCGUAGGCGGCGCGGUAAGUCGGGUGUGAAAUCUCGGAGCUUAACUCCGAAACUGCAUUCGAUACUGCCGUGCUUGAGGACUGGAGAGGAGACUGGAAUUUACGGUGUAGCGGUGAAAUGCGUAGAUAUCGCAAGGAAGACCAGUGGCGAAGGCGGGUCUCUGGACAGUUCCUGACGCUGAGGCACGAAGGUCAGGGGAGCAAACGGG